rnacentral:rRNA from 1 species
ACGGGAGGCAGCAGUGGGGAAUAUUGCACAAUGGGGGAAACCCUGAUGCAGCGAUGCCGCGUGGAGGAAGAAGGUUUUCGGAUUGUAAACUCCUGUCUUAAGGGACGAUAAUGACGGUACCUUAGGAGGAAGCUCCGGCUAACUACGUGCCAGCAGCCGCGGUAAUACGUAGGGAGCGAGCGUUGUCCGGAAUUACUGGGUGUAAAGGGUGCGUAGGCGGCAUGGCAAGUCAGAUGUGAAAGACCGGGGCUCAACUCCGGGGCUGCAUUUGAAACUGCCAGGCUGGAGUACAGGAGAGGCAGGCGGAAUUCCUAGUGUAGCGGUGAAAUGCGUAGAUAUUAGGAGGAACACCAGUGGCGAAGGCGGCCUGCUGGACUGUUACUGACGCUGAGGCACGAAAGCGUGGGGAGCAAACAGGAUUAGAUACCCUGGUA